rnacentral:rRNA from 1 species
UGCGUAGGGGGCAAGCGUUGUCCGGAAUCAUUGGGCGUAAAGAGCGUGUAGGUGGCUCGGUAAGUCCGCUGUGAAAGUCCAGGGCUCAACCCUGGAAAGCCGGUGGAAACUGUCGAGCUCGAGUCCGGAAGAGGCGAGUGGAAUUCCUGGUGUAGCGGUGAAAUGCGCAGAUAUCAGGAGGAACACCAAUGGCGAAGGCAGCUCGCUGGGACGGUACUGACACUGAGACGCGAAAGCGUGGGGAGCAAACAGG